rnacentral:rRNA from 1 species
CCUCCGGGAGGCAGCAGUGGGGAAUUUUGGACAAUGGGGGCAACCCUGAUCCAGCCAUGCCGCGUGAGUGAAGAAGGCCUUCGGGUUGUAAAGCUCUUUCGGCCGGGAAGAAAUCGCAUGGGUUAAUACCCUGUGUGGAUGACGGUACCGGCAUAAGAAGCACCGGCUAACUACGUGCCAGCAGCCGCGGUAAUACGUAGGGUGCGAGCGUUAAUCGGAAUUACUGGGCGUAAAGCGUGCGCAGGCGGUUUGGUAAGACAGGCGUGAAAUCCCCGGGCUCAACCUGGGAACUGCGCUUGUGACUGCCUCACUAGAGUGCGGCAGAGGGGGGUGGAAUUCCACGUGUAGCAGUGAAAUGCGUAGAGAUGUGGAGGAACACCGAUGGCGAAGGCAGCCCCCUGGGCCGAUACUGACGCUCAUGCACGAAAGCGUGGGUAGCAAACAGGAUUAGAUACCCUGGUAGUCCACGCCCUAAACGAUGUCAACUAGGUGUUGGGUGGGUAAAACCAUUUAGUACCGGAGCUAACGCGUGAAGUUGACCGCCUGGGGAGUACGGCCGCAAGGUUAAAACUCAAAGGAAUUGACGG